rnacentral:rRNA from 1 species
GACGGAGGGGGCUAGCGUUGUUCGGAAUGACUGGGCGUAAAGGGCGCGUAGGCGGCUUAUCAAGUCAGGUGUGAAAGCCUUGGGCUUAACCCAAGAAUUGCGCUUGAUACUGAUGAGCUAGAGGAUGAUAGAGGAAAGCGGAAUUCCUAGUGUAGAGGUGAAAUUCGUAGAUAUUAGGAAGAACACCAGAGGCGAAGGCGGCUUUCUGGAUCAUAUCUGACGCUGAGGCGCGAAAGCGUGGGGAGCAAACAGG